rnacentral:rRNA from 1 species
AGAGUUUGAUCAUGGCUCAGGGUGAACGCUGGCGGCGUGCUUGACACAUGCAAGUCGAACGGUAUGUGGCAACACAUAGAGUGGCGAACGGGUGAGUAACACGUGGGAACGUAUCUUUUGCAGGGGGAUAACUGACCGAAAGGACAGCUAAUACCGCAUAAGUCCGGGAGGAGAAAGGUGCAACAGCAUCGGCAGAAGAGCGGCCCGCGGUCCAUCAGCUAGUUGGUGAGGUAAGGGCUUACCAAGGCGACGACGGAUAGCCGGCGUGAGAGCGUGGCCGGCCACAAGGACACUGAGAUACGGGUCCUACUCCUACGGGAGGCAGCAGUGCGGAAUUUUAGAUAAUGGAGGGAACUCUGAUCUAGCGACGCCGCGUGCAGGAAGAAGGUCUUCGGAUUGUAAACUGCCGUGGUAAGGGAAAAAUGCUAUGUAGAGUGGAAAGCUACAUAGAGGGAUGGUACCUUACUAGAAAGCCCCGGCUAACUACGUGCCAGCAGCCGCGGUAAUACGUAGGGGGCGAGCGUUACCCGGAAUCACUGGGCGUAAAGGGAGCGUAGGUGGCCUAACAUGUCAACUGUGAAAACCCGGAGCUCAACUCCGGACUUGCAGUUGAAACUGGUAGGCUUGAGGACGGUAGAGGAAGACGGAACUGCCAGUGUAGGGGUAAAAUCCUUAGAUAUUGGCAGGAACGCCGGUGACGAAGGUGGUUUUCUGGGCCGGUUCUGACACUGAUGCUCGAAAGCCAGGGGAGCGAACGGGAUUAGAUACCCCGGUAGUCCUGGCCCUAAACGAUGUUCACUAGGUGUGGGGAGCGGAAAGCUCUCCGUGCUAAAGCUAACGCGAUAAGUGAACCGCCUGGGGAGUACGCCCGCAAGGGUGAAACUCAAAUGAAUUGACGG